UGGACCCCAGCCCAGGAGCUGGGCUCUCACAGCUGCCUCAGGGCCUCCCCGAUUAUAUGUCAGCUUCCCGCUAGGCCAGCCCUUCAGGGACAGCAGCCUGCCUGCUCCCCGUGGACACCCCCAGGGAAGGCAGCAGCGGUCAGUAACGCGCCCAGUACAUGCUACCCCCUCCCUGGCCAAGCCGGCAACACGAGAGGGACACACGGAGGGCGGGCCAGUCACAAGUAACGGUGCCCCCUCUGCAGGUCUGUGAAAGAAACACCAGAACCAAAGGGGAACAAAAACAUGAGGAAAAAAAAAAAACAAAAAUGAAGAACAAACAGCUUUCAGAAUUUUCUCUAGUUCUUCUUUGGUCAUCAAUUCCUGUUUGAAGAUUUGACAAAUAACCCAGAGAUGGUCAUUCCAGAGGAGAGAAGUCAAGUGUUGGAGAGGCUGUGUGUGUGGGAGAGGAAAAAUGGAGUCCGACAACAUCAAUCAAUUAAAAUGGGCCGGGGACUUUAAGUGCUAAGAAGAAAAAGAAAAGCAAAAAGAAUUCCUGAGCUCAACAAGUUUUCAAGCAAAGAUAAGAGACAAUACUUAAAUAAAUAUACAAGAUUCCUAGAGAAUUACUGGAGGCCUGUAGAAUUGUUCAGCUUGGUCCUGGACUGUAAACCUUGUGAACAAGAAAGUACAUUUUAGAGGGACAGAGAAGAGAGAUUCUUGAGUCUCAUUAGAGGUAUUACACAAAGGUUAGAAAAACCAAGAAUUUGCAGAGGAGCAAUUAAGAAAUGAGACAUCGGUAGUAACUCAGCAAAUAUACUGCACAAGAUAUAUGAACUAUAGAUUAUUUCUGAGCAACUCUAUCAUGCCGUAGGAGUUACUGAUUGAAAUAUUAAGAAGUACAGAACUAGAUACUUGAUCUCUACUAAACUUGUUAUCUAAAAGAGUUAGAUGUCUAUUUCAAUGGUAAAAUCUAAUUAAGGCAAAUAAAGAGAAAAAAAACAA